GACAGAGGUGCCGAGCGUUAGGCGGAAUCACUGGGCUUAAAGCGUGUGUAGGCGGGCCGUUAAGUGUCUUGUGAAAUCCCCCGGCUCAACCGGGGAAUUGCUGGGCAUACUGGCGGUCUUGAGCAAUCUAGGGGCAGAUGGAACAAGUGGUGGAGCGGUGAAAUGCGUAGAUAUCACUUGGAACGCCAAAGGUGAAGACAGUCUGCUGGGGAGUUGCUGACGCUGAGACACGAAAGCCAGGGGAGCGAACGGG
rnacentral:rRNA from 1 species